ensembl:lncRNA
GUGUUCCUUUCUGCAGAUAGAGGGCAGCAGAGGCCAGCAUUCACAUGCUUAGGGCGCUGGCAUUCUACUUAUUUAAAUUAAUUUGCUCAAUUCAUAUUCUAGUGGACAUGUCUGAAGCACUCAGGGUAAAGAGACAAACUGCCCAUUGUGGCUAAGGGCUGUAGUUGAACUUCAAGAAUACUGACACUAACGCUUUCUUUGUCUCCAAUAUGGUCAUCAUGGCUCUCCCUCUAACCUCCUUGGUCUCAGUGAGAAAUGAAAUCUGCAACUACCCCCCAUUGUUCGGCACCUGCAAAUUAACUUUGACCCGAUAUUACUACAACACCUUGACAUUUUUGUGUGAGCCCUUCAUGUUCUCUGGCUGUGGAGGCAACAGAAACAACUUUAAACAAAAAUACAUCUGUGAAAAGAUGUGUAUUCUGAAAAGGUACAUCUCUCUUGGCAACUCCCUCCUUCACCUCUGUUGACACCAAACACUGGGAACCAUGGUUUUUCAAGAAAAGCCAAGUGUGAGAGUUCCCGUCGUGGCUCAGCGGUAACGAACCUGACUAGGAUCCAUGAGGAUGCGGGUUCGAUCCCUGGUCUCACUCAGUGGGUCGGGGAUCUGGUGUUGUUAUGAGCUGUGGUGUAGGUCACAGACUUGGCUCAGAUCUGGCGUGGCUGUGGCUGUGGUGUAGGCCGGCAGCUACAGCUCUGAUUUGACCCCUAGCCUGGGAACUUCCAUAUGCCGAGGGUGCAGCCCUAAAAAGAAAAAAAAGGGGAGGGGAACAGCUAUGAAGUUCUGCUAACAUGUAGAGAACCCUUUGUUUCUUCCAACAACCAUAUGAAUUACUAAAUUUGUUUAUUUGUUAGCAGGAAAAAGUAAGCUUAAUACGACAGAAGGAAGAAAUAAGGAAGAGGAAAACGUAUGCCCAAAUUAUUCUGAGUAAAUAAAUUGGACUAUUGCUAGAAGUUUUUUGAAUUC